rnacentral:misc_RNA from 1 species
GUAGGUGAACCUGCGGAAGGAUCAUUACAGAGUUGCAAAACUCCCAACCCUUUGUGAACAUACCUAAGUUGCUUCGGCAGGCAGGCCCAGGGCGGGCCUGUAGCCUGUUUUCAGGUGCCUGCCGGAGGUUUUAAACUCUAUAUUUUAGUGAUAUCUGAGUAAUUAUAUAAAUAAGUCAAAACUUUCAGCAACGGAUCUCUUGGUUCUG